GGUGCCAUCGUCUAGUGGCAGGACAGCACGUUGUGGCUUACGAUCUCUUAAAGGUUGUAAAAAGCAACUUCCGUGCAAACGGCGGUUCGAUCCCGUCUGGCGCCA